UUCGCCCUUAGAGUUUGAUCCUGGCGCAGGACGAACGCUGGCGGCGUGCUUAACACAUGCAAGUCGAGCGGAGACAUUGGACUUCGGUCUGAUGUUUUAGCGGCGGACGGGUGAGUAACGCGUGAGCAAUCUGUCCCAGACAGGGGGAUAACACUUGGAAACAGGUGCUAAUACCGCAUAAGACCACGGAAUCACAUGGUUCUGAGGUAAAAGGAGCAAUCCGGUUUGGGGUGAGCUCGCGUCCGAUUAGCUAGUUGGCGGGGUAACGGCCCACCAAGGCGACGAUCGGUAGCCGACCUGAGAGGGUGAUCGGCCACAUUGGAACUGAGAAACGGUCCAAACUCCUACGGGAGGCAGCAGUGGGGAAUAUUGGGCAAUGGGCGAAAGCCUGACCCAGCAACGCCGCGUGAGGGAAGAAGGUUUUCGGAUUGUAAACCUCUGUCCUAAGUGACGAAGGAAGUGACGGUAGCUUAGGAGGAAGCCCCGGCUAACUACGUGCCAGCAGCCGCGGUAAUACGUAGGGGGCAAGCGUUGUCCGGAAUGACUGGGCGUAAAGGGCGUGUAGGCGGCUCUUUAAGUCUGAAGUGAAAGUCCUGCUUUCAAGGUGGGAAUUGCUUUGGAGACUGGAGAGCUUGAGUGCGGAAGAGGUAAGUGGAAUUCCCAGUGUAGCGGUGAAAUGCGUAGAGAUUGGGAGGAACACCAGUGGCGAAGGCGACUUACUGGGCCGUAACUGACGCUGAGGCGCGAAAGCGUGGGGAGCGAACAGGAUUAGAUACCCUGGUAGUCCACGCUGUAAACGAUGAAUGCUAGGUGUAGCGGGUAUCGACCCCUGCUGUGCCGGAGUAAACACAAUAAGCAUUCCGCCUGGGGAGUACGGCCGCAAGGUUGAAACUCAAAGGAAUUGACGGGGGCCCGCACAAGCAGCGGAGCAUGUUGUUUAAUUCGAUGCAACGCGAAGAACCUUACCAGGUCUUGACAUCGGCGUAAAACCUCAGAGAUGAGGCGUCUCUUCGGAGGAUGCCAGACAGGUGGUGCAUGGUUGUCGUCAGCUCGUGUCGUGAGAUGUUGGGUUAAGUCCCGCAACGAGCGCAACCCCUACGGUUAGUUGCUACGCAAGAGCACUCUAGCCGGACUGCCGUUGACAAAACGGAGGAAGGCGGGGACGACGUCAAAUCAUCAUGCCCCUUACGUUUAGGGCUACACACGUACUACAAUGGCGCAAACAAAGGGAAGCGAUGCCGCGAGGCGGAGCAAAACCCAAAAAAGGCGUCCCAGUUCGGACUGCAGGCUGCAACUCGCCUGCACGAAGUUGGAAUUGCUAGUAAUCGCGGAUCAGCAUGCCGCGGUGAAUACGUUCCCGGGCUUUGCACUCACCGCCCGUCA
rnacentral:rRNA from 1 species